CCUACGGGGGGCAGCAGUGAGGAAUAUUGGUCAAUGGUCGGGAGACUGAACCAGCCAAGCCGCGUGAGGGAUGAAGGUACAGAGUAUCGUAAACCUCUUUUGUCAGGGAACAAAGGCGGGGACGUGUCCCCGGAUGAGUGUACCUGAAGAAAAAGCAUCGGCUAACUCCGUGCCAGCAGCCGCGGUAAUACGGAGGAUGCGAGCGUUAUCCGGAUUUAUUGGGUUUAAAGGGUGCGCAGGCGGUCUGUUACGUCAGGGGUAAAAGCCCGGGGCUCAACCCCGGCCCGCCGUUGAAACUGGCAGUCUCGAGUUGGAGAGAAGUAUGCGGAAUGCGCGGUGUAGCGGUGAAAUGCAUAGAUAUCGCGCAGAACUCCGAUUGCGAAGGCAGCAUGCCGGCUCCACACUGACGCUGAGGCACGAAAGCGUGGGUAUCGAACAGGAUUAGAUACCCCUGUAGUC
rnacentral:rRNA from 1 species